rnacentral:rRNA from 1 species
AGAGACAGCAGCGCCGCGGUAAUACGGAGGGUGCAAGCGUUAUCCGGAUUUAUUGGGUUUAAAGGGUCCGUAGGCGGACUUAUAAGUCAGUGGUGAAAGCCUGUCGCUUAACGGUAGAACUGCCAUUGAUACUGUAAGUCUUGAGUAUAUUUGAGGUAGCUGGAAUAAGUAGUGUAGCGGUGAAAUGCAUAGAUAUUACUUAGAACACCAAUUGCGAAGGCAGGUUACCAAGAUAUAACUGACGCUGAGGGACGAAAGCGUGGGUAGCGAACAGGAUUAGAUACCCCGGUAGUCCCUGUCUCUUAUACC